rnacentral:RNase_P_RNA from 1 species
GAGUUGGCUGGACAGUCGCUGCACGAUGUGUGGAGGAAAGUCCGGGCUCCAUAGGGCAGGGUGCCAGGUAACGCCUGGGCGGCGUGAGCCGACGGAAAGUGCCGCAGAAAAGAUACCGCCGAUGGCCGUCAGCCGAUGGCUCAGGCAAGGGUGAAAUGGUGCGGUAAGAGCGCACCGCGUGGCUGGCAACAGGCACGGCAGGGUAAACCCCACCCGGAGCAAGACCAAAUAGGGGGGCAGACGCGUGGCCCGCGCGGCUCCCGGGUAGGUCGCUCGAGGUGCAUGGCGACAUGUACCCCAGAUGAAUGACUGUCUCUGACAGAACCCGGCUUACAGGCCGGCUCC